ensembl:miRNA MIR4538 microRNA 4538
GAGCUUGGAUGAGCUGGGCUGAACUGGGCUGGGUUGAGCUGGGCUGGGCUGAGUUGAGCCAGACUGAUCUGGGCUGAG